rnacentral:rRNA from 1 species
CCUGGCUUAGAACGAACGCUGGCGGCGUGCUUAACACAUGCAAGUCGAACGCGAAAGGGACUUCGGUCCUGAGUAAAGUGGCGCACGGGUGAGUAACGCGUAGAUAACCUGUCUUCAUGUCUGGAAUAAUACGCCGAAAGGGGUACUAAUACCGGAUAUUCUUGCUUUUCAUAAGUUAUGCAAGCAAAGGUGGCCUCUGCAUAUGCUACUGCAUGAAGAGGGGUCUGCGUACCAUUAGCUAGUAGGUGGGGUAAUGGCCUACCUAGGCGACGAUGGUUAGCGGGUCUGAGAGGAUGAUCCGCCACACUGGCACUGGAACACGGGCCAGACUCCUACGGGAGGCAGCAGUGAGGAAUAUUGCGCAAUGGGGGAAACCCUGACGCAGCGACGCCGCGUGAGUGAGGAAGGCCUUCGGGUCGUAAAGCUCUGUCAAGAGGAAAGAAGUGUACAAUGGCUAAUACCUGUUGUAUUUGACGGUACCUCUAAAGGAAGCACCGGCUAACUCCGUGCCAGCCGCCGC